rnacentral:rRNA from 1 species
GACGAACGCUGGCGGCGUGCCUAAUACAUGCAAGUCGAGCGAAUCAAUAGGAGCUUGCUCCUGUUGGUUAGCGGCGGACGGGUGAGUAACACGUGGGCAACCUGCCUGUAAGACUGGGAUAACACCGGGAAACCGGUGCUAAUACCGGAUAAUCCUUUUCCUCUCAUGAGGAAAAGCUGAAAGUCGGUUUCGGCUGACACUUACAGAUGGGCCCGCGGCGCAUUAGCUAGUUGGUGAGGUAACGGCUCACCAAGGCGACGAUGCGUAGCCGACCUGAGAGGGUGAUCGGCCACACUGGGACUGAGACACGGCCCAGACUCCUACGGGAGGCAGCAGUAGGGAAUCUUCCACAAUGGACGAAAGUCUGAUGGAGCAACGCCGCGUGAGCGAUGAAGGCCUUCGGGUCGUAAAGCUCUGUUGUUAGGGAAGAACAAGUACCGGAGUAACUGCCGGUACCUUGACGGUACCUAACCAGAAAGCCACGGCUAACUACGUGCCAGCCGCCGC